GUUUGUUCCUCUUGAUUGUUGUUUGUUCUUCUUGAUUGUUGUUUGUCUCUCCUAUUAGAAAAUCAUUUGAACGUGAAAUCAUUAGACCCCAUGGCUUGCUUUUCUCAGCAAGUUCACAGAAAAUUGUUCUUAUCUACUUUCCUGGGUAAAGUGUAGUUCCUCCAAAGGCUCUUGACACCUCCCUUCAGUCUUGCAACUCUUCCACAGAAAGUGGAAGUGGCUGUUUUGGUCCACUGCUGCUUCUGCGUGUCACUGGACAUGCCCCUGUAAUAAACCACAUCUUAAGGAAAUCCCCUCAAUCCUGAGAACUGGUUUCUUAGAACAUCCAAAAUGUUUGGAACAGCAGUUCAAGUAGGUGGCAUGCACAGGAUAAAUUGCAGCGCAGGAAGACCCCAGGCCACAGACGCCGUGCAGGACAGCACAAAGCAGCACGGAGGAAGAGCCCUCGCACAGCCACCAUGCUCAGCACAAGACCAGUCCUGCUUCUCGUGCUGCUCCUCACCUUCUCCCAGCACUGCACCACAGCACUCCCCACACCUACUGAAUGCUGCUUCCAUUAUGCACAGAAAAAUGUUCGGCUUGCAAAUAUACGGAGUUUCUAUGAGACGCCCAAAAUCUGCGCCUUACCUGCAAUAGUGAUUGUGACUGCUUCUGGUUUCAAGGUCUGUACUGACCCUCAGAAGCCCUGGGUGAAGAAAGCGAUAAAUAAGCUUUGAAGAAAAAAAUGAAAUCCGCAUUUUGCCAUCCACAGUCAGACUCGCACCUCCAGCCCUCCUAUCUCCAAAUGGAGCAGAGAGCACUCAUUGUAGUUCUCCAGAAGGUUGUAUGGCAGCGGGCACAGGCACUGCACAUGGAGCCAGCCUGCGCCCCGAGGGAGGCCGGGCUUUGCAGCAGCAUGGACCAGCUGGACACUGCAUACCUUACGCUGUUACUGCCCUGCCAGGACACGCCCAGGGGAGGAAAUAGUUAUAAUAAAGACUCAUUUCCACAAGCUGCUGUUUGAGUUUUUCAGUUUUUCAGCCCAAGGAGCAAAUCCUACAAGCUCAGAGCACAGUGUGACCAAAACACCUGCUUGCUACAGGCACGCGUUUCUGUGGGGUAGGAACUCUGCCUCUUCACAUUGUGCAUGGUUGGGAAUGUGACAGUGGGGCCAGGCCUUGACUCAUGUGUUAGGCUAUGUCUUCAUGGCAUGCUCUCAGCCCCACACGCAUUGCAGGUGCUCCAGUGUUGGAUGGUCAGGAGCAGGGGGUUG